AUGAACGCUGGCGGCGUGCCUAAUACAUGCAAGUCGAGCGAACAGACGAGGAGCUUGCUCCUCUGACGUUAGCGGCGGACGGGUGAGUAACACGUGGAUAACCUACCUAUAAGACUGGGAUAACUUCGGGAAACCGGAGCUAAUACCGGAUAAUAUAUUGAACCGCAUGGUUCAAUAGUGAAAGACGGUUUUGCUGUCACUUAUAGAUGGAUCCGCGCCGCAUUAGCUGGUUGGUAAGGUAACGGCUUACCAAGGCAACGAUGCGUAGCCGACCUGAGAGGGUGAUCGGCCACACUGGAACUGAGACACGGUCCAGACUCCUACGGGAGGCAGCAGUAGGGAAUCUUCCGCAAUGGGCGAAAGCUUGACGGAGCAACGCCGCGUGAGUGAUGAAGGUCUUCGGAUCGUAAAACUCUGUUAUUAGGGAAGAACAAAUGUGUAAGUAACUAUGCACGUCUUGACGGUACCUAAUCAGAAAGCCACGGCUAACUACGUG
rnacentral:rRNA from 1 species